rnacentral:rRNA from 1 species
CGUAGGGGCAAGCGUUGUCCGGAAUCAUUGGGCGUAAAGAGCGUGUAGGCGGUCCGGUAAGUCGGUUGUGAAAGUCCAGGGCUCAACCCUGGGAUGCCGACCGAUACUGUCGGACUAGAGUUCGGAAGAGGCGAGUGGAAUUCCCGGUGUAGCGGUGUAAUGCGCAGAUAUCGGGAGGAACACCAAUGGCGAAGGCAGCUCGCUGGGACGUUACUGACGCUGAGACGCGAAAGCGUGGGGAGCAAACAGGAUUAGAUACCCUGGUAGUCCACGCCGUAAACGAUGGGCACUAGGUGUGGCGGGUGUCGACUCCCGCCGUGCCGCAGCUAACGCAUUAAGUGCCCCGCCUGGGGAGUACGGCCGCAAGGCUA